rnacentral:rRNA from 1 species
AUUGAACGCUGGCGGCAGGCCUACCACGUGCAAGUCGAACGAGUGGCGGACGGGUGAGUAAUGUCGGGGAAACUGCCCGAUGGAGGGGGAUAAUUACUGGAAACAGUAGCUAAUACCGCAUACCAUCGGAGGUGCCCAGAUGGGAUUAGUUAGUAGGUGGGGUAACGGCUCACAUAGGCGACGAUCCCUAGCUGGUCUGCGAGGAUGCCCAGCCAACCUGGAACGGAGACACGGUCCAGACUCCUACGGGAGGCAGCAGUGGGGAAUAUUGCACAAUGGGCGCAAGCCUGAUACAGCCAUGCCGCGUGUAUGAAGAAGGCCUUCGGGUUGUAAAGUACUUUCAGCGAGGAGGCGUUACUCGCAGAAGAAGCACCGGCUAACUCCGUGCCAGCAGCCGCGGUAAUAC